GACAGAGGAGCCAAGCGUUGUCCGGAUUGACUGGGCGUAAAGCGCACGCAGGCGGUCGUGCACGUGGGGUGUGAAAACUGGCGGCUUAACUGCCAGAGGCCACCUCAUACGGCGCGACUCGAGCCCUGCAGAGGUCCAUGGAAUUACCGGUGUAGUGGUGAAAUGCGUAGAGAUCGGCAGGAACACCCAGGGGGAAACCAGUGGACUGGGCAGGAGCUGACGCUCAGGUGCGAAAGCGUGGGGAGCGAACCGG
rnacentral:rRNA from 1 species